GACGAAGGAUGCAAGCGUUAUCCGGAUUCAUUGGGUUUAAAGGGUGCGUAGGCGGCCCUGUAAGUCAGUGGUGAAAGCUCUCAGCUUAACUGAGAAACUGCCAUUGAUACUGCAAGGCUUGAGUACAGAUGAUGUUGGCGGAAUAUGACAUGUAGCGGUGAAAUGCAUAGAUAUGUCAUAGAACACCGAUUGCGAAGGCAGCUGACAAAACUGUAACUGACGCUGAGGCACGAAAGUGUGGGGAUCAAACAGG
rnacentral:rRNA from 2 species